GAUAGCUGGUUUUCCGCGAAACCUAUAUAAGUAGGUAAUGUAAAUAACAUCAUAGCAGGUACAGAACUGUGAUCUCGGACAAAUUAUGUUGUUUUCUUAACGAUAGCAACAUGGUUUUGUAUACAUCGGGGAAUCGUGAAGAUUUUAUCGGCGAGAAUUUGCUCUCGGAAGGGCAAUGAUGAAUGUUGAACUAUCAGACAUUUAACGAUAAGGUUGUGUGUCAAAAGGGAAACAGCCCAGAACAAGUGUUUAAGGUUCCAAAGUUUUUGUUAAGUGAAAGUAAGGAAGUAUUUAAACUAUACAACCAGGAAAUAGGCUUAGAAGCGGCCAUUUUUUAAAGACCUCGUAACAGAGCACUGGUUCAAAUGGUUAGAAAUAACCUAAUUAGUUAAAAGCGCCGAAGAUAUAACGGAUCUAAACAAAACACCGACACCUUGUCCAUAAUAAAAUUUAAAAUUUAAUGAAAAAUUUAGUUUUAUUUUAAUAUAUUUAAAUAUUAUUUAAGUAUUGUUUAUGGGGUAGCGGAACAUUGGGUAAAUAGAAUAAG
rnacentral:rRNA from 1 species